rnacentral:misc_RNA from 1 species
AACUUUCGGCAACGGAUCUCUUGGUUCUGGCAUCGAUGAAGAACGCAGCGAAAUGCGAUAAGUAAUGUGAAUGGCAGAAGUCAGUGAAUCAUCGAAUCUUGGAACGCACCUUGCGCCCUUUGGCUAUUCUGAAGGGCAUGCCUGUUUGAGUAUCAUGAACACCUCAACCCCUCAUGGUUUACCGUGAUGGGCUUGGACUUUGGGGGUCUUGCUGACCUAUGGUUGGCUCCUCUCAAAUGGAUCAGCUUGCCAGUGUUUGGUGGCCUCACAGGUGUGAUAAAUAUCUACGCUUGUGGUUUCCACCAUAUUGCCUUCAGCGAUGAAGGUUCUCUGGAGCUCACAAAUGUCCCUCCUCCGCGAGGACAGCUUUUUGAACGUUUGAUCUCAACUCAGGUAGGAUUACCCGCUGAACUUAAGCAUAUCAAUAAGCGGAGGCU